rnacentral:rRNA from 1 species
GUACGGAGGAUCCGAGCGUUAUCCGGAUUUAUUGGGUUUAAAGGGUGCGCAGGCGGGAGAUUAAGUCGGCGGGGAAAUUUUUCAGCUCAACUGUAAAAGUGCCUUCGAAACUGGUUUCCUUGGGUGGAGAUGAAGGAGGCGGGAUUUGUGGUGUUGCGGUGAAAUGCAUAGAUAUCACGAGGAACUCCGAUUGCGCAGGCAGCUUACUAAACUACUACUGACGCUCUGGCACGAAGGCGUGGGGAUCAAACAGGAUUAGAUACCCUGGUAGUCCACGCAGUAAACGAUGAUUACUAGCUGUUUGCGAUACAAUGUAAGCGGCUGAGCGAAAGCGUUAAGUAAUCCACCUGGGGAGUACGUUCGCAAGAAUGAAACUCAAAUGAAUUGGCGGGG